UACGUAGGGGGCAAGCGUUGUCCGGAUUUAUUGGGCGUAAAGAGCUCGUAGGCGGUUUGUCGCGUCUGCCGUGAAAGUCCGGGGCUCAACUCCGGAUCUGCGGUGGGUACGGGCAGACUAGAGUGAUGUAGGGGAGACUGGAAUUCCUGGUGUAGCGGUGAAAUGCGCAGAUAUCAGGAGGAACACCGAUGGCGAAGGCAGGUCUCUGGGGCUAAUUAACUGACGUGAGGAGCGAAAGCAUGGGGAGCGAACAGG
rnacentral:rRNA from 1 species